rnacentral:rRNA from 1 species
GAUGAACGCUGGCGGCGUGCCUAAUACAUGCAAGUCGAGCGAACGGACGAGAAGCUUGCUUCUCUGAUGUUAGCGGCGGACGGGUGAGUAACACGUGGAUAACCUACCUAUAAGACUGGGAUAACUUCGGGAAACCGGAGCUAAUACCGGAUCAUAUUUUGAACCGCAUGGUUCAAAAGUGAAAGACGGUCUUGCUGUCACUUAUAGCUGGUUCCGCGCUGCAUUAGCUAGUUGGUAAGGUAACGGCUUACCAAGGCAACGAUGCAUAGCCGACCUGAGAGGAUGAUCGGCCGCACUGGAACUGAGACACGGUCCAGACUCCUACGGGAGGCAGCAGUAGGGAAUCUUCCGCAAUGGGCGAAAGCCUGACGGAGCAACGCCGCGUGAGUGAUGAAGGUCUUCGGAUCGUAAAACUCUGUUAUUAGGGAAGAACAUAUGUGUAAGUAACUGUGCACAUCUUGACGGUACCUAAUCAGAAAGCCACGGCUAACUACGUG